CGCUGUCGUCUGCGAGGAGAGAGCAGAGACCGGAGAGACUUCAUUUGGGUGGGAGCUGCGACGUGAGCUGCCAUGCUUAAAACUAACUUGUGCACGGAUCAGCGGCCCAUGAUGUCUUUUACCUGUCGAAACUUGUUUGGUCGAACGUCCCGUGACUGCUCGGAGGACCGAGCAUUUUGUCGCAUGGAGUUGAUGCAGUUGGCAGCGACGUUUAGAGAACGGUGGGAAGUGUUAGCGGAGAUACCCGUUGAAGACGGUGAUGAGAUUAAGGUUGUGAAUCUCGAGCUACCGGCGGUGUACGCCAGAAUGGUUUUGCCGAACAGGACGGAUGCACCACUGCCGGGUAGCGAGCGUGGACAGCGGAAAAUCUCAGACUAUAUGCGCAAGACAAAGUCUCCAUUGAAUAAAUCUCGGAUCGCACCGUACAAGAAGAAGACAGACUCGACAUCUACACAAACGGAAUGAGGGGCGAUCUCAAUCGUGGCAAGAAGAUGCGCGCCAUUUGGUGAAUGGUCUAGUCGUUUGCAGCUGUAAAGAAGAUGUGCCUGUGGACUUUGUACGUCACUGCGGUGGUCCAGAUAGAAGACAUAACCUAGUUGCUGUUUUUCCUAAUAUAUACUGGUUAUCCUGCUCUGCGGACGGUGGUUGGUUGCGUCGUAUUACGACAGAAAAUGUCCUACGAAGAGAGAGAGAGAGAGAGAGAGAGAAGACAGGCACAGACCGUUUCUCAGCGAGGGCAGGACGAGUGAUCUCGUAUUCUAAUUUUAUUUUGCUAUAUGUUUUCUGAGAGAUGUUGCAAUUAGUUUUUCGUACUAUUGUUCUAGUGUGGAUAACUUGAGUUGAUGUGAUAUGAAAUACACUUUUUUAUUGAGAAUGUGAACAA